rnacentral:misc_RNA from 1 species
GUGAAUCAUCGAAUCUUUGAACGCAAAUUGCACUCUCUGGUAUUCCGGAGAGUAUGCCUGUUUGAGGGUCAGUUGAAAUAAAAAUCGUUGUGGGUGCUGCCUUGUUUGGUUACGCAUCGUAUUUGGGUCGUCUUGCCUUCGGUUAAGUUUCCUAAAAUGUUGCAUGAUUUUGUUCGAACGUAUAUAAAUGAUUUUACGUACGUUAGCGAUAGCGAAUA